ensembl:miRNA Mir7090 microRNA 7090
AGUUCUCAGAGUCGGGACACUGUGAGGGCUAACAGGCCUGCCUUUGAUGUCUGACUUUGCAG